rnacentral:pre_miRNA from 1 species
GUUGAGGGGAGUGUCGUCUGGUUCGAAGCCAUCAAUGAACAGACAAAAGAGCACCCUCUCGAUCGUUCUCUCUCCCUCGAGGAUGGUUUCGGACCAGGCUUCAUUCCCCCCAAC